rnacentral:rRNA from 1 species
GGUGAACGCUGGCGGCGUGCCUAAUACAUGCAAGUCGAGCGAACAGACGAGGAGCUUGCUCCUCUGACGUUAGCGGCGGACGGGUGAGUAACACGUGGAUAACCUACCUAUAAGACUGGGAUAACUUCGGGAAACCGGAGCUAAUACCGGAUAAUAUAUUGAACCGCAUGGUUCAAUAGUGAAAGACGGUUUUGCUGUCACUUAUAGAUGGAUCCGCGCCGCAUUAGCUAGUUGGUAAGGUAACAGCUUACCAAGGCAACGAUGCGUAGCCGACCUGAGAGGGUGAUCGGCCACACUGGAACUGAGACACGGUCCAGACUCCUACGGGAGGCAGCAGUAGGGAAUCUUCCGCAAAGGGCGAAAGCCUGACGGAGCAACGCCGCGUGAGUGAUGAAGGUCUUCGGAUCGUAAAACUCUGUUAUUAGGGAAGAACAAAUGUGUAAGUAACUAUGCACGUCUUGACGGUACCUAAUCAGAAAGCCACGGCUAACUACGUG